CCAAUUUAUAUAUAUGUUAGUUUGCCUGUGGCUUCGGUCACUGGUAUUAACUACUAUGUAAACGUUGAACUAGAUCAAUUGGUGUGGAUUGCUUGGGAAUGGACGAAGCGAUGAGCCUCUUCCGGACAGGCAAGCCCCACACUGAUAACCUUUUUCAUAUCAUUUACUCGUAUAUACUACCACAACAACAAAAACAAAAGCUAUAAUAGGACUUAUUAACGGCUGAGUGGGUAACAUCCUCGGCUUAAACAUAUAACUAUUA
rnacentral:misc_RNA from 1 species